rnacentral:tRNA from 1 species
GCGGGGGUUCCCCUAGCCAGGCCAACGGGGGCGGACUGAGACUCCGCUGGCGUAGGCCUUCGUGGGUUCAAAUCCCACCCCCCGCACCA